UAGAAACAACAGGCCAGCAGGAGCAGCUAUCAGAGCAGUUUGCCAUUUCCUGUUGUCCUGAUCUCUCUUGUGGAUACUGGUGCAGGGGAACCAGGAGUGCAAUACUGUUGCUUCCAUCCCAAAGGCCACCUGGACAAUCAGGAUGAAUCCCACUGAGUGUCAACAAGCAAUAUUCUACUGCUAUGAAGGGAUGCUUCAUUUUAGCUUGACAGAUAGAAAUCAGAGCCUUUCAAUGGAAUGUGCACAGAUGGUGUGUGGCUUAUGCCUUGAAGACAGAAAACAUGAACUUAUCCAGUGAAGACAGGAAACAUGAACUUCAGCUUUUUAGAAAGAAAAGCAGUUGUUGAUGGCAUGUGCAGAUAAGAAGCAGGUGUGCAAUGUGCACAGUGAG